rnacentral:rRNA from 1 species
UACGUAGGGUGCGAGCGUUAAUCGGAAUUACUGGGCGUAAAGCGUGCGCAGGCGGUUUUGUAAGCCAGAUGUGAAAUCCCCGGGCUUAACCUGGGAAUGGCAUUUGGGACUGCAAGGCUGGAGUGUGGCAGAGGAGACUGGAAUUCCUGGUGUAGCAGUGAAAUGCGUAGAUAUCAGGAGGAAUACCGAUGGCGAAGGCAGGUCUCUGGGCUGACACUGACGCUCAUGCACGAAAGCGUGGGGAGCGAACAGG